rnacentral:rRNA from 1 species
UGACCUCGAAUCAGGUAAGAAUACCCGCUGAACUAAGCAUAU